GUCUACUACCAUACCACUCUGAACAUACCCAAUCUCAUCUGAUCUCAGAAGCUAAAUAGGGUCGGGCCUGGUUUGUAUAAUAAUUGGAUGGGAGAAA
rnacentral:rRNA from 1 species